GUGCCAGCAGCCGCGGUAAGUACGUAGGUGGCAAGCGUUGUCCGGAAUUAUUGGGCGUAAAGGGCUCGCAGGCGGUUUCUUAAGUCUGAUGUGAAAGCCCCCGGCUCAACCGGGGAGGGUCAUUGGAAACUGGGGAACUUGAGUGCAGAAGAGGAGAGUGGAAUUCCACGUGUAGCGUUGAAAUGCGUAGAGAUGUGGAGGAACACCAGUGGCGAAGGCGACUCUCUGGUCUGUAACUGACGCUGAGGAGCGACAGCGUGGGGAGCGAACAGAUUAGAUACCCUGGUAGUCC
rnacentral:rRNA from 1 species